rnacentral:rRNA from 1 species
GAUGAACGCUGGCGGCGUGCCUAAUACAUGCAAGUCGAGCGAACGGACGAGAAGCUUGCUUCUCUGAUGUUAGCGGCGGACGGGUGAGUAACACGUGGAUAACCUACCUAUAAGACUGGGAUAACUUCGGGAAACCGGAGCUAAUACCGGAUAAUAUUUUGAACCGCAUGGUUCAAAAGUGAAAGACGGUCUUGCUGUCACUUAUAGAUGGAUCCGCGCUGCAUUAGCUAGUUGGUAAGGUAACGGCUUACCAAGGCAACGAUGCAUAGCCGACCUGAGAGGGUGAUCGGCCACACUGGAACGGAGACACGGUCCAGACUCCUACGGGAGGCAGCAGUAGGGAAUCUUCCGCAAAGGGCGAAAGCCUGACGGAGCAACGCCGCGUGAGUGAUGAAGGUCUUCGGAUCGUAAAACUCUGUUAUUAGGGAAGAACAUAUGUGUAAGUAACUGUGCACAUCUUGACGGUACCUAAUCAGAAAGCCACGGCUAACUACGUG